rnacentral:rRNA from 1 species
GGGUGGCGAGUGGCGGACGGGUGAGGAAUACAUCGGAAUCUACUUUUUCGUGGGGGAUAACGUAGGGAAACUUACGCUAAUACCGCAUACGACCUACGGGUGAAAGCAGGGGAUCUUCGGACCUUGCGCGAUUGAAUGAGCCGAUGUCGGAUUAGCUAGUUGGCGGGGUAAAGGCCCACCAAGGCGACGAUCCGUAGCUGGUCUGAGAGGAUGAUCAGCCACACUGGAACUGAGACACGGUCCAGACUCCUACGGGAGGCAGCAGUGGGGAAUAUUGGACAAUGGGCGCAAGCCUGAUCCAGCCAUACCGCGUGGGUGAAGAAGGCCUUCGGGUUGUAAAGCCCUUUUGUUGGGAAAGAAAUCCAGCCGGUUAAUACCUGGUUGGGAUGACGGUACCCAAAGAAUAAGC